GGUUAAGCGACUAAGCGUACACGGUGGAUGCCCUGGCAGUCAGAGGCGAUGAAGGACGUGCUAAUCUGCGAAAAGCGCCGGCGAGGUGAUAUGAACCUUUGACCCGGCGAUGUCCGAAUGGGGAAACCCAGUGUGUUCCGACACACUAUCGUUAACUGAAUACAUAGGUUAACGAGGCGAACCGGGGGAACUGAAACAUCUAAGUACCCCGAGGAAAAGAAAUCAACCGAGAUUCCCCCAGUAGCGGCGAGCGAACGGGGAGCAGCCCAGAGUCUGAAUCAGCUUGUGUGUUAGUGGAAGCGUCUGGAAAGUCGCACGGUACAGGGUGACAGUCCCGUACACGAAAAUGCACAGGUUGUGAACUCGAAGAGUAGGGCGGGACACGUGGUAUCCUGUCUGAAUAUGGGGGGACCAUCCUCCAAGGCUAAAUACUCCUGACUGACCGAUAGUGAACCAGUACCGUGAGGGAAAGGCGAAAAGAACCCCGGCGAGGGGAGUGAAAAAGAACCUGAAACCGUGUACGUACAAGCAGUGGGAGCACCUUCGUGGUGUGACUGCGUACCUUUUGUAUAAUGGGUCAGCGACUUAUAUUCUGUAGCAAGGUUAACCGUAUAGGGGAGCCGAAGGGAAACCGAGUCUUAACUGGGCGUUAAGUUGCAGGGUAUAGACCCGAAACCCGGUGAUCUAGCCAUGGGCAGGUUGAAGGUUGGGUAACACUAACUGGAGGACCGAACCGACUAAUGUUGAAAAAUUAGCGGAUGACUUGUGGCUGGGGGUGAAAGGCCAAUCAAACCGGGAGAUAGCUGGUUCUCCCCGAAAGCUAUUUAGGUAGCGCCUCGUGAACUCAUCUUCGGGGGUAGAGCACUGUUUCGGCUAGGGGGCCAUCCCGGCUUACCAACCCGAUGCAAACUACGAAUACCGAAGAAUGUUAUCACGGGAGACACACGGCGGGUGCUAACGUCCGUCGUGAAGAGGGAAACAACCCAGACCGCCAGCUAAGGUCCCAAAGUCAUGGUUAAGUGGGAAACGAUGUGGGAAGGCACAGACAGCCAGGAUGUUGGCUUAGAAGCAGCCAUCAUUUAAAGAAAGCGUAAUAGCUCACUGGUCGAGUCGGCCUGCGCGGAAGAUGUAACGGGGCUAAACCAUGCACCGAAGCUGCGGCAGCGACACUUAUGUGUUGUUGGGUAGGGGAGCGUUCUGUAAGCCGUUGAAGGUGUGCUGUGAGGCAUGCUGGAGGUAUCAGAAGUGCGAAUGCUGACAUAAGUAACGAUAAAGCGGGUGAAAAGCCCGCUCGCCGGAAGACCAAGGGUUCCUGUCCAACGUUAAUCGGGGCAGGGUGAGUCGACCCCUAAGGCGAGGCCGAAAGGCGUAGUCGAUGGGAAACAGGUUAAUAUUCCUGUACUUGGUGUUACUGCGAAGGGGGGACGGAGAAGGCUAUGUUAGCCGGGCGACGGUUGUCCCGGUUUAAGCAUGUAGGCGGAGGUUCCAGGUAAAUCCGGUACCUUAUUAACGCUGAGGUGUGAUGACGAGGCACUACGGUGCUGAAGUAACAAAUGCCCUGCUUCCAGGAAAAGCCUCUAAGCAUCAGGUAACAUCAAAUCGUACCCCAAACCGACACAGGUGGUCAGGUAGAGAAUACCAAGGCGCUUGAGAGAACUCGGGUGAAGGAACUAGGCAAAAUGGUGCCGUAACUUCGGGAGAAGGCACGCUGAUAUGUAGGUGAAGCCCCUGCGGGUGGAGCUGAAAUCAGUCGAAGAUACCAGCUGGCUGCAACUGUUUAUUAAAAACACAGCACUGUGCAAACACGAAAGUGGACGUAUACGGUGUGACGCCUGCCCGGUGCCGGAAGGUUAAUUGAUGGGGUUAGCGGCAACGCGAAGCUCUUGAUCGAAGCCCCGGUAAACGGCGGCCGUAACUAUAACGGUCCUAAGGUAGCGAAAUUCCUUGUCGGGUAAGUUCCGACCUGCACGAAUGGCGUAAUGAUGGCCAGGCUGUCUCCACCCGAGACUCAGUGAAAUUGAACUCGCUGUGAAGAUGCAGUGUACCCGCGGCAAGACGGAAAGACCCCGUGAACCUUUACUAUAGCUUGACACUGAACACUGGUCCUUGAUGUGUAGGAUAGGUGGGAGGCUUUGAAGUGUGGACGCCAGUCUGCAUGGAGCCGUCCUUGAAAUACCACCCUUUAAUGGCUGGUGUUCUAACGUAGACCCGUAAUCCGGGUUGCGGACAGUGUCUGGUGGGUAGUUUGACUGGGGCGGUCUCCUCCCAAAGAGUAACGGAGGAGCACGAAGGUUAGCUAAUCCUGGUCGGACAUCAGGAGGUUAGUGCAAUGGCAUAAGCUAGCUUGACUGCGAGAGUGACGGCUCGAGCAGGUGCGAAAGCAGGUCAUAGUGAUCCGGUGGUUCUGAAUGGAAGGGCCAUCGCUCAACGGAUAAAAGGUACUCCGGGGAUAACAGGCUGAUACCGCCCAAGAGUUCAUAUCGACGGCGGUGUUUGGCACCUCGAUGUCGGCUCAUCACAUCCUGGGGCUGAAGUAGGUCCCAAGGGUAUGGCUGUUCGCCAUUUAAAGUGGUACGCGAGCUGGGUUUAGAACGUCGUGAGACAGUUCGGUCCCUAUCUGCCGUGGGCGCUGGAGAAUUGAGGGGGGCUGCUCCUAGUACGAGAGGACCGGAGUGGACGCAUCACUGGUGUUCGGGUUGUCAUGCCAAUGGCACUGCCCGGUAGCUAAAUGCGGAAAAGAUAAGUGCUGAAAGCAUCUAAGCACGAAACUUGCCCCGAGAUGAGUUCUCCCUGAGACUUUAAGUCUCCUGAAGGAACGUUGAAGACGACGACGUUGAUAGGUCGGGUGUGUAAGCGCAGCGAUGCGUUGAGCUAACCGAUACUAAUGAACCGUGAGGCUUAACCUU
rnacentral:rRNA from 1 species